UACAGGGGGUGCAAACGUUGCUCGGAAUCAUUGGGCGUAAAGCGCACGUAGGCGGUUCGUUAUGUCGGAUGUGAAAGCCCUUGGCUUAACCGAGGAAGUGCAUCCGAAACUGGCGAGCUAGAGUACUAAAGAGGAUCGCGGAAUUCCCGGUGUAGAGGUGAAAUUCGUAGAUAUCGGGAGGAACACCGGUGGCGAAGGCGGCGAUCUGGGUAGAUACUGACGCUGAGGUGCGAAAGCGUGGGGAG
rnacentral:rRNA from 1 species